GUUCAGGGGCUUGGAAGUUGUGAGGUGAGCAAUCUUCUAAUAAAAGACACAUCACCUGUUUAUAGAGAUCGAAAAAUUUUAUUUGUAAGAUUUUUUAUCAAAUAGUAAAUGCAAAGAACACUUAAGUAAAGAAAAAAAUUAUAAAUUUUGUUUUUUGUUUUUUAACUGCAAGCUUUUGCAUUACAAGGCUCACAGAGCAAAAAGACUAAAUACAAAGGAUAAAAAUUUCAAACUAUGACCCAUUAAAAAGGUCCCUUACAAACCUACCAAAUCAGUUUACUUAUACAAACCCAAGAGUUCAAACAAGGAACCCUAGGUUAGAUUGGGAUCAAAGAACACGUAAGAAAAAAAUUAUAAAAUUUGUUUGCUUAAAAGGAUUACAACAAAAAAAUGAAUCAUAAAGCAUUUUUAGGCUAGAGCAUGUGCUGUACUAGAAAUAUAUUAGACUUUUUAAUACCUAGAUUUUGAGGUUGGAUAUAUGGGUUUCUAAUACCUUCAUCAGAGUCUUCAUUAUUAUUAUUAUUAUUUAAAUUUCAACAUGAUUAUAUUAUACUCAUUGUUGUUAGAAUCUUACGAUUUGA
rnacentral:misc_RNA from 1 species